UAGACCUUUGAAUGAUUUCUAGUUCAUCUUCAGGUUCAUUCCCUUUCCCCAGCAGGAGAUCUGGACUCUUUCAUGAAAAAAGACAGAGGCUGAUGAAAGAGUAUGAAGACCAGCUGCUGUUGGACCAGUCCUUUUGUCCUAUUGAUGGAGAGAGCAUGGGGUAUCAAGAAGCCCAAACCCCAAUCAACUUGUAGUCUUGCAGCUCUUCCAUUUAUAAAGAACUCACAACAAGGAAGAAAAGACAGUCCUAUUCUGCCUUUGUAACCUACCAAAUUAAACAGCUUCUGAGAGCACAGAUCUUUCCCUUAAUAUUUGUGGCUACCAGGCUUUGUCACCUCCAUCAAUAUUAUAUGUUGAUUUUAUUCCCACUAUGUUUUCAUUUACUAAAAUAAAAAUUUACUAUAGAGAAAAAAGCUCAUCUGAAGGAAA